AUAAAGUGAAAUUACUCCAAUUUUUAGAAUAUCCGAAUGACAUGCGGAAAAACUGCCCCAUUUUUCAGUUGAGAGAUAGAGAAAAUGGCGACGACGCCGGCGGCGGAUACUCCACCAAAAUCCGACGCCGAACUCGAGAAUAAUCCAAGCCCUAAUUUCACUUCUAGUACUCCUUCCGUUUGCCUUCUCAGAUGCGCCUUCGACUCUGGCUCCGGCGCCUUCGUGGGCUCCAUUUUCGGAUUCGGUACAGGAUUGGUUUCAAGGAAAGGAUUUAAAGGCUCCCUGGGAGAGGCUGCAUCUUCUGCCAAGACAUUUGCAGUAUUGUCCGGAGUUCACAGUUUGGUUGUCUGCUUUUUAAAGAGGCUGCGGGGGAAGGAUGAUGUUAUUAAUGCUGGAGUGGCUGGAUGUUGCACUGGCCUUGCUUUGAGUUUCCCAGGUGCACCCCAGGCCCUGCUGCAGAGUUGCCUCACUUUUGGCGCAUUCUCGUUUUUCAUCGAAGGGUUUAACAGACGGCAAACAGCUUUGGCACUUCCACUGUCCGUAGGAAUCAAGAGUAGGCCCUCCACUCCACUCCCUCCACUAGCUUUCCCUCUUCCAGACGAAUUUAAGGAGCCCUUUUCUUCUUUCUGCAAAUCGAUCAGAACACGUGGGCCAUUUUCAUCUGCAACUCGCUGAUUAAGCAAGCUGUGCAUCAAUUUCGCACUAAAUCUUACGUUGAAAGUUACUGUGGUUAUGUUGUGCAGAUUGUCUCAUGUAAAAUGAACUUUUGUUUUUCAAGUUAUCGUCAAUAAACCCCAAUCCAAAAACAUAAAACAAAAAAAAAAAAUUAUCAUCGAUACCAUUACCGGUACUCUACUCGAUGGCUAGCUUAGUUUCUCUUAACUAAUGAAACUCAAUUGUUAAAACUGCAGUGAAGGGGCAAUCUUAUGGCUCUAUUUUCUUGCCAUAUCCAAAUGAAAUAUUAUAAAAUCGCUUGAACUAA